CGGAGGGUGCAAGCGUUAUCCGGAAUUACUGGGUUUAAAGGGUGCGUAGGCGGUUAGAUAAGUCAGUGGUGAAAGGUUGCCGCUUAACGGUAGAAUGGCCAUUGAUACUGUUUAACUUGAAUCAGGAUGAGGUUAGCGGAAUGAGACAUGUAGCGGUGAAAUGCAUAGAUAUGUCUUAGAACACCAAUUGCGAAGGCAGCUAGCUAGACCUAGAUUGACGCUGAGGCACGAAAGCGUGGGAGCGAACAGGAUU
rnacentral:rRNA from 1 species